AACACCCUGGUCAACUGGUUACCAAACCAUGUUCGUUACAAGCAGAAACCCGGGUCACUCCCUGAUUGGUCAAUGCCAUGGUGCGAGGCCACGUGAUGUGACGUCAGUCUGAGGCCAUUCCUCUCGAGCUUGCCAAUGUGGUCGGAAGCUAAAUCUCGAUUUUCUUCUAAAUUUCGCAUGGAAUUACAGAUAUUCUGCUUUGGCCACAUAACUUUCCUUGAUCUAUGAUAUGAGAUGACGGUCGAGGUGUCCAUGGUGGUAAGAGAUGACAGCCGGUGGUCCAUGAUGCCAGGAGUUGAAAGGUUCUGUCCAGAAAUCCCUCGGUGAUCUCAAUCCUAGCUAGGCGAUGGACCAUAAUCAGCAGUCUGACCAACAAUGUUCAAUACAAGGCCACAAUUCCAUAAUUGCACGGUGGGAUGUCAUACACACGAAGCGGCUGAACUCCACAGGGAAUCAGAUGAUACAGCGGAUACAAUACUACACACGGUGGAAUUGCGUGCACACCACGUGCCAAUGACGUCAUCAAGUCACGUGAUCUAUAGGAGAGGACGACGUAUCGGCAAAGGAGGGAACGAUUAUGGAAAAUUUUCUCGCGGAACAACAUGUGGAAAGUUUAAGGCAAGACCAAUACUUUGUAAAACUGAAUGUCGAAAACUAGUUACACUUGUCAAAGUUUCAGCUGAAAUUAGUUCAAAUUUACAAGAUUUACAAGUUUGGAAAGGCAGAAACAGGACAAGUGUAACUAGAAACUAGAGAGGUUUCGCAUUUACGUUUCAGUUCACGUUUCAAAAUUACAAUAUGAAAGAUUUGGUGGUGUAAGUCAAAGGCAUGGCAUAUUAGCCCCUUCUUUUUUGAGAAAUCACAGGAACAUGCACGUGCGUCACAGACGUUUUGAAUACUUAAACGUAAGGAAAAACGUAAGAUUGCGAAACCUCUCUUUUUGCUCUGUUGCCCAAUGCAUGAACCUGAAUCGGAAAUCCAGAAAUUAGAAUGAACUUUGUCAGUAGCAAUGUAAUAAUCUUUGGGUCUUUGCUUUUAUUACCAGAAUACUCUACGUAUCAGGUGGAAAUUGUAAGAAAUUGAGAAGAGUUUUAUUGGUUAUUUAUGGGGGCAAUCUUUCAAGCUACAUGUGAUCAGGUUCAUGCACAGGGCUACAGUGUUGGCCAUUGGUGAAACGAUUGUUCCAUCUCAGGUGUAUCUUCAUCAAGGUGAAAGUACAUUAGUCACUUGGGGAAUUAGUCCUACCCUAUUGUCCAAUGAGUGUUCAGUGAUUUACAGUUAGAGAUGCCAAACCUUCAUAAUACGAUUGUAAAAACAAUGCAGACUAUUUGAACAUGGUCUCAGCUCAAUCAGCCAAUCAUACGCCGUUUUUCACACAGUCUUGUGGAAGAAAUAUCAAGUUUAAAAAACUGUCCAUUCCAGCAAACUUUCUUGGCUCAAGUAGGCCACUUUUAUAUAUCAUUUCACGAAAGUCUCCUGUUUAAAAACGGGCAAAAAAGACUUACGCGAAAAAAAAGUAAAGAGGUUCAGUCUGGAUUCGAACCAUCGACCUCUUGCACUGAAAUCCAACGCUCUUACCACUACUCCAUAAAACCACCCACUGGAAGUGGCCGGCAAUGUGAGAGUCACUGAAAACAUGUGCUCAGACCUUCAUCAUUGAGUGAUGUCACGAUCAUUCAAUUGAGUAUACAAGUUCCAGGACUCUUUGUCCAAAUUGUGUGGAUUUCACGUCACUGCCACAGACCCAUUGAUAGGGCCAUUGUGGUCCCUUAAUCUGUAUAUUCCAUUGAAUGAGACAAUAGGGCCUACUCUUGCUGGCCCAACUCUCCAAUAAUUUUUCCGCGUCACUGUGUUUGCUGGGAGUUUGGUAUCACAAGCUUCUGAAAUAUCGAUACAAGUACAGGGUGUUAAUCAAAACAAGUUACAGUCUUAAGGCCUAAUAGCCGUUGUUCUAAAUGACAUGGCCAAUUUGAUUUGUACCAUCAACAAAUAGAAUCUCUCAGAAUUUGUUGCAUACUAACUGAAGUAUAAUCUAUCCAGUUCAUGUACUUCUUACACAACUAGAAUUCAAAAUGUUUUAAUUAACACCCUGUAUACUUGAUGAACAUAUCACGUAUAAGUUCCAAUUCAAAGCUGUGGCAGUUGUAGGUUGACUUGCGACGGUGAUUUCAAAAAGUAUUAUUUGUCUAUAAAAACCUUAUCAUAGUCUCGAACUACACCUUCCACCAUGGACCACCAAGGCUCCUCAAGUCUGGUGUCCUCGAAAACCCUCAUUCAGCCCCCUUUCCAUUUUGGGAAAACAUUCAAUCAGAAAUGGAAAACAUUUGUGACACCCCGUAUAUGUGUAUUUAUGUUAAGAUGUCAGAUAUUCUGUUGUGAUCAAAAGUAGAAAUUAGUUUAUCAACAACAUCAUUAAACUGCUGCAGUACGAAGUUGUUUCUUAAGAAUAUCAAUUAAGAAAACAAAACCCCUAUCAACUAAAAGUAACACGUAUUCACCCAUUCUGAAUUACAUAAACAAGAGUUGACCUCUUAGUCCCAAAAAGCUGAUUGGUUCAUUUCCAAUGAGCAAGCGGCAAGAAGAAUUCGGGAUCCAUAAUUUAUCAUUUCUUUUAAAAAGUAUAAGCAAUAACCUGCUCAGUGUCAGGAGCAUUCAGAUUUUGAUGUUGAGUUCUGAAAUAACUAAUUGGUACACCCAAGAAUUGUCUGUAAUAACAGACACAUUUCAAUCGUUGGGGUAAAUUAAUCUAUGUCAUUAAAGCAACAUCAACAUUCGAAAUGUUUGAAAGGAAUUAUCAGGGCAUUAAGAUAUCAUUAUCAAUCGCCCUUUUCUAAAAACCAUGCUACCAAUCCAGACCUUGGAUCCAAAUCAAAUGAAAUGUAUGGAAAUACAUCCCCUUCCAGACUGUUCAAGAUAUUCUAAAGAAACAAUUAACUGACAGCAAUACUCUGUACAACAGAUUAAGAUUCAGGCCUUAAUUACCGGUACUUGAUUCAGGCUGUGUAAAAAUACUUUAAUCUCACUUCUAUAAGACCAUCUAAUGAACUUUAACGAAGGAAUGAUUGCCGCUGCGGGAUAUCCUUUGACCUCCGCAGCAGUAGCGUAAACUGUAAGACUUCACAAGCACUGAAGCUGUCUUAUCACUUUCUAUUUGCUACGUGGAUUUGGGUUGUGUUAAAAUUAACGAAAAUGGUCUUAUAUUUGUGAUUUUACAGUAUUUCGCCUUCUUUGCGUGUACUGUGAAAUGGUUAGUAGUUAUUUAAAUAAAACUUUUGU